rnacentral:rRNA from 1 species
UACGUAGGGUGCAAGCGUUGUCCGGAAUUAUUGGGCGUAAAGAGCUCGUAGGCGGUCUGUCGCGUCUGCUGUGAAAACCUGGGGCUUAACCCCGGGCCUGCAGUGGGUACAGGCAGACUAGAGUGCGGUAGGGGAGACUGGAAUUCCUGGUGUAGCGGUGAAAUGCGCAGAUAUCAGGAGGAACACCGGUGGCGAAGGCGGGUCUCUGGGCCGUAACUGACGCUGAGGAGCGAAAGCAUGGGGAGCGAACAGG